GAGUUUGAUUCCGGCUUCAGGACGAAACGCUGGCGGCCAUGCCUAAUACAAGCAAGUCGAACGCUGAAGCACUUUGCUUGCAGAGUGCGGAUGAGUGGCGAACGGGUGAGUAACACGUGGGAAACCUGCCUCGAAGUGAGGAAUAGCCUUCCGAAAGGGAGAUUAAUACCUCAUAAUAUUAAUUUUUCGCAUGAAAGAUUAAUUAAAGGAUUUAUUCGCUUCGAAAUGGACCCGCGGCGCAUUAGUUAGUUGGUGGGGUAAUGGCUCACCAAGACAAUGAUGCGUAGCCGACCUGAGAGGGUGAUCGACCACAUUGGAACUGAGACACGGCCCAGACUCCUACGGGAGGCAGCAGUAGGGAAUCUUCCACAAUGGGUGAAAACCUGAUGGAGCAAUGCCGCGUGAAUGAAGAAGGUCUUCGGAUCGUAAAGUUCUGUUAUUAGAGAAGAACAAGUCAAGGAGUAACUGUCUUGACUUUGACGGUACCUAACCAGAAAGUCACGGCUAACUACGUGCCAGCAGCCGCGGUAAUACGUAGGUGACAAGCGUUGUCCGGAAUUAUUGGGCGUAAAGGGAGCGCAGGCGGUUGGAAUAGUCUGAUGUGAAAGCCCACGGCUUAACCGUGGAAGGUCAUUGGAAACUGUCCAACUUGAAUACAGAAGAGGUAAGUGGAAUUCCUAGUGUAGCGGUGAAAUGCGUAGAUAUUAGGAGGAACACCAGUGGCGAAGGCGGCUUGCUGGACGACAACUGACGCUGAGGCGCGAAAGCGUGGGGAGCAAACAGGAUUAGAUACCCUGGUAGUCCACGUUGUAAACGAUGAAUACUAGGUGUGGG
rnacentral:rRNA from 1 species